GCCCUACCUAUUGUCCCCAUGGAAACGCAAUAACAAGUCUGAGCUGUCUAGACAAAAUCCACCUGCUCAAAAGAAGGAAAAAUCAAGGAUAUGGAAGUCACCUUUCAUUGAGGUGGGGUUGGAGAUGGAGACACCAAAGAAGGUGGGUGUCUGCUGGGAUGUGGCAGAAGGGUGUGGCAGUCAAUACCGUAUACCCACUUGCAGUGUGCUAUUGAUGAGGACAAUUACAGUGAUAUCAAAACAAACUGCACUGAAUGACCAGAAUUUACAGACCUUGAAUUGAACUCAUAAUCAAAAUAAAGUAUGUAUCUGAUGUGAUCCCCUCUAGGUAUAUUUUCAGAUAGUUUUAUUUCAUUUUAUGUAUAGCUCAGUUGUUAACAUGUCAUGGAAUACCUGAUAACUGCAGCCUUGUGGUACAGCAGUUUCUUCAGCUAACUUUAACACUUUCGCUUGGAGGACAUCUGUGGUUUUGAGCUGCGUUUAUGACCAGGGUUUGUUUCCUGUAUGGAUACAGAUAACGAUUGAUGUUUCUCUUUCUAUCGUCUCAAGAUCUGUGUGCUUUAUUUUGAGUCAGAAAGAGUUCAUAUCUUGAUGUUGUAAAACAUUGAAUAAAAAUGUAAGGACCGACGCCGGACUGGAGAAGCAGGUACAGGGAGUCAAACAUUGUUUCAGGAACGGACAUGGAACACGACAGGAACAGCGUCAGCACACAGGAAAACAAGGACAUAAGACCAACAAUCCCGAAGCAGGGAACAGAGAUAGGAAACAUACAAAUAUAGGGAAGGAAAUUACACAAGUAAUUGAGUUCACGUGAGCCCAAUGAGCGCUGAUGCGCGUGACGGGGAAAGGCAGGUGUGCGUACUGAAGGUGGCUUGAGUGGUGUAAGACUGGUGCCUUCGAGCGCCAGAGGACGAACGGGAGCAGGUCGUGACAGUACCCCACCCUCCACACAGCGCCACCCAGCGUCCAACCUGGGUGAACCGGUCGAGAAAGGGGGAGCAGGGGUGACAACAACAAAAAACAUACUGGGGUUGUGGUAGGCCUAAUCGUGGGCCAGAACCUGGUUUUGUUUUGGUCUGUGCCUGUGGAGAUCUUGGUCAAAAUCAAAAUAAAUCACUCUACUUAA